rnacentral:lncRNA from 1 species
GAAGAAUUGAGUUGGCCUUUGACAGGAAGAGACACUAGGAGAUAUUGGUGAAGUCUGAAGAAGCAAUUGGUAAGAAACCAUUCAUGUCAACUUGGAACUGGAGCUGUCUGCAGUUAUGAUGAAUGUACAUAGCAGGAGGACUGUGUUCCCAGACUGCUGCAGAUAGACAAGCAAGAGUGAAGGAAAAGAGAACAAGGCAACUGUCAGGUACUGUGAUAAAGAAUGACACUGGAGAUAUGUCUUGCCUCCUUUUGUGUUCGGUGUGUGCCUGAGAUUAUUGGUUUUUUCUUCCACUGUGAUUAU